rnacentral:rRNA from 1 species
AGUGAACGCUGGCGGUAGGCCUAACACAUGCAAGUCGAACGGCAGCACAGUAAGAGCUUGCUCUUACGGGUGGCGAGUGGCGGAUGGGUGAGGAAUACAUCGGAAUCUACUUUUUCGUGGGGGAUAACGUAGGGAAACUUACGCUAAUACCGCAUACGACCUACGGGUGAAAGCAGGGGAUCUUCGGACCUUGCGCGAUUGAAUGAGCCGAUGUCGGAUUAGCUAGUUGGCGGGGUAAAGGCCCACCAAGGCGACGAUCCGUAGCUGGUCUGAGAGGAUGAUCAGCCACACUGGAACUGAGGCACGGUCCAGACUCCUACGGGAGGCAGCAGUGAGGAAUAUUGGACAAUGGGCGCAAGCCUGAUCCAGCCAUACCGCGUGGGUGAAGAAGGCCUUCGGGUUGUAAAGCCCUUUUGUUGGGAAAGAAAAGCAGCAGGUUAAUACCCCGCUGUUCUGACGGUACCCAAAGAAUAAGCACCGGCUAACUUCGUG